rnacentral:lncRNA from 1 species
CUCGACUAAAUAAUCAAGAUCCUACAAGCCAAAGCAAAAAACAUCGUAAUGAAAGCUAGUUCUUGUCAACAAUUUUCACUAUCAAUUGCCGGAGACCACAUUGACUAGAAAGAAAUAUGUAAGAGGCCAUUUGAAAUAAUCAAACAGCAAAAGAAACUCUGUUACAAAUUAUAUCAUCUGAAGGAAGUUUCAAGGCAUAAAAUAGCUAGAGAAGAUAGGGAAAAGGGAGAAACUCCAAUAUGUAGCUUCAAUGUCUUUCAUGAAUGCUCUUUUGUUUUUGUCUUUCCUUUCCUUCACUGAGCCGGGGGUCGAUU